CUAUCUUGGCCUCCCAAAGUGCUGGAAUUACAGGUGUGAGCCACUGCGCCCAGCCUGCAUUGAUUGUAUUAUUCCCAUUUACAGUUUCUUGGACCGAAUGCCUCUGUUUAUGGGGUUUCUUACUUAUCACCACCUUUGCUGCCAUGUUCAACCCCUCUUGUGCUGCUUUCUCUAACUUGCCUCUGCUGGCUGGAGUUUGCAGAUGGAAUAGCGGUGCAGGGGUGUUGCAUCCUCCCGGCCUCUCCAUCUGACACUGUCUUUCCACAGCCUUUUCUUGUGGCCAACACCUGGGCUGUGUAUGGAAUUCUUGGGCACAAUAUCCCUGAAGAGCUUGUUGGAAUGUGCUUCGUGGGCUUCUGGAGUUUUCUCUGGCUUCACCUGAGGCCCAUUCAUCUUUCUUCCUUCUGUGAUCACCUCUGUUACCUCUCUCGUUGCCCCUCCUGGUUCUUCUCUCUCUGGUCACACCUGUCUUCCUCAGUUCUUCAAGUAGUUCCUUCCUCUCCCGUCCCACACUCUCUCCUCUGCCAGGAACCAGACCCCGUGCAUCACCUCAGUGUCAGAGCUCACCAUCAUCUUCAGUUAAGCUGUUCUCAAACUCUCAGCCUCAAGUGAUCCACCCACCUCGGCCUCCCAAAGUUCUGGGAUUACAGGCAUGAGCCACCGUGCCUGGAAAAUUCCUUCAGAAAACUUUUGAUCAGGUUUUCCCUAACAUGUAGUUUGCAGCAGGGGAUGGGUAUUGUGCUGUGUUUUAUAAGAAUGUAACACAAUCCAUGCCAUAGAAAUGCAGGGGCACAGCUUUCUAGAGACCACUGGCAAUAUUCCCAAUGUGGAAGAAGGGUGUGUAGAAUUAUUUCACAAAGUGGUAGUGACAGAGAAAAAAUUCCUGUAGCCAAGACCUUUAUUGUUAUUGGUGUAUUUCUAGGUGCUUCUUAGCUUUGUGGAACGACUGGAAGAAAUACUCACAGCUCACUCAUUCCUGACCCUUCCUCUUGAAUGUUGGCUUCUCUACAAGUCUUCACGACAGUGUUCUUGAAAUGUUUUUUUCAAAUGACUACACAAUGACAGCUUGCCCAGGCAAAACGUCGAUAGUCAGUAAAAUGUUAAAGUGCUUAAUUAAUGCUUGUAAAAUUCAAAAAUACAUCCACUGAUGCCACAAUAAUUCACUCAGCGUUCUACACAAAAACAUUGUCAUUAUUUAUAGCAGGGAUUGACAAAUCUGGCCAAUGGCCUAUUUUUAUAAAUAAAGUUUUAUUAGUACACAGCUAUACCUACCUGUUUAUACUUUCUGGCUGCUUUCAUGCCACAAGGGUGGAGUUGAGUAGAUGCAGCAGAGACCAGAUGUAAUGGUUGGUUUUAUGCACCAACUUGAUUGGGCCAGAGGAUGCCCAGAUAUGUGGUUAAACAUUAUUUCUGGUGUGUCUGCAAGGAUGUUUCUGGAAGAGUUGAACAUUUAAAUGGUGGACUAAGUCAGAUGGCCCUCCCCAGUGUGGGUGGGUGCAUCCAAUCCACUGAAGGCAUGAAUAGAAUACAAUGGUGGAGGAAGGUUGACUUUGCUCUCUGCCUGAUCUCUUGAGCUGGAACAUGGCUCUUCUCCGGCCCUCACUACUCCUUGUUCUCGGGAUCUUAGACCAGGCCUGGAAUUGACUCCAUCGGUUCUCCCACACUCAGGCCCUCAAACUACAUGGGUUUUCCUGGGUCUCCAGCCUGCAGGUGGCAGAUCAUGGGACGGCUCAGCCUUCAGCCUUCCUAAUCAUUUUUCAUGUGGAUUGAAGAAAGUGUUCAUGUAAUCUCCAAAGACGAGACCUGGUUGUGGAGUCUGAAGACCUGGGUUCGUGGCCCAGUAACAGAACCACUCCAUGACUACAGCUCAGGUUAUUGUGAGGAGGAAAUGGAUGUUACAAGCCUGGGCAUCGUGAUGACGGGGCACGCUGCAAGACUGACUAUGUGGCAUCUCUUCAGGCUGGGGCCUUGGGGAGGAUGUUUCCCUAGAACAUCCUUGCCUCCUGCCAGGCCUUCUCCUGGGCAGGGACAACAACCAGACUUUGAAAUUCCUACCCUUGGUCAGUGCCUCUGGCUGCUCAGUUUAUUGAUCAAACAUGGGAUUGUUGGGCCCAGAGGAGACAGUUGUUCAGCCCAGCACAGGCCAUUAUCUCUUCUUUCAGUUGGAAAAGUGCUCCUGGAUUUAAUUAGGGCUGACAUUGAAUAUUACUCAGAGACAGGCAUGAGGGAGGUUAAGCACAACUGAUGGCACAUCAACUACUUCACCAACGGCAGAAAGGCCUUGGAAUCCGGACACUGGCGCCCCUCCCCGGCUCCACUGCUGAUGGGCAGGAGACCAGGCUGAGGCCGCCUGUCUCCUUAGGACCAUCCAGGACCUGAGCACAUGUCACCAACCUUUUGAUUUUAUUUUUAGCUGAUUUCUACUUGCUUUUACGUCGCCCCAGUUCUGUGUGUAUUUAGAAGUGUCUGAAGGAAUGACAUGGUUGCUAUUUCCGGAGGGCUGGUUUGGCUUUGAGCGUGAUUUUCUUCACCAACACAGUGGCCAGGCACAGUAGUGGCUCCCCCAUUUGACAGAGAAGACUGUGGCUCAGGUACACGUGCCAGGAAGUGGCAGAACCAGGGCUCGACCCAACUUGGAGAUCAUUCCAUGCCUGGAAUAUUGACCACUGCCUGCAGCAGAGGUUCUCGGCCUGCACUGUGCAAGAGAGCGACCUUCCUGGACUCUGCCAACACGGGGAGCUCCAUGCUCUUCCAGUGACCAGCGGUGGUGCUGGCAGUGCCGAGGGUGAGGGGGUCCUUAGGGGCCAGGGCCAGGACCUGUCCACCCAGACGCCAGGGAGAAGGCAAUGAGUCUGAGCUGGCUCUCAAGGGCGCUGGCCCUGGGGAGGGGAAACCCACGCCAGCCUCGGGGAUGAUGAAGCUCGGAGAGUGCUCACCGGGGCAGCGGCCGGAUGCCCAGCACGUCACCUCCCUUGUCAGUCAGUUCGCCCUUCCUAGACACUGGUCACGGCAGAUCCUUACCGGCUUUUUGCACUUUGAAAUCCAACUAUGCAACUCAUUAUUUCUUUCAACUGUGGCCACAUUCAGGAUCCCACGGUGUACUAAAAUCUCUUUGAGUCAGAAAGCAAAGAAGAAGGAAGAAGCAUUGGCGUUUUCCCUGUCCCCAGCAUGGCUACAGGAUGCAGAGUGAUUGAAAAUGGACAUUUAUUAAGAUGAUUAAUGUGUGCCCUCGGUUCUACCAGAUUAUCUGUAUAAAUUGUCUUUCCCUAUUCA